CAAAGGCCCCAAAGGAAGUCACGGCUAACUCUGUGCCAGCAGCCGCGGUAAUACAGAGGUGGCAAGCGUUGUUCGGUAUUAUUGGGCGUAAAGAGCACGUAGGUGGUUCUGUAAGUCGGAUGUGAAAGCCUUCUGUUCAAAGGAAGGACGGCAUCUGAAACUACAGAUCUUGAGUGUAGGAGGGGAGAGUGGAACUUCUGGUGGAGCGGUGAAAUGCGUAGAUAUCAGAAGGAACGUCGGCGGCGAAAGCGACUCUCUGGCCUAUUACUGACACUGAGCGUGCGAAAGUUAGGGGAGCAAACGGGAUUAGAUACCCCGGUAGUCCUAACUGUAAA
rnacentral:rRNA from 1 species